AGCCUGUGACGCCACGUGCAUGGGGCGGAGCCCAGGCCCUAGGGAAUCGUGGGGUCGUAUCCCGCGGGUGGAGGCCGGGGUGGCGCCGGCCGGGGCGGGGGAGCCCAAAAGACCGGCUGCCGCCUGCUCCCCGGAAAAGGGCACUCGUCUCCGUGGGUGUGGCGGAGCGCGCGGUGCACGGAAUGGGCUAUGUGAAUGAAAAAAGGUAUCCGUUAUGAAACUUCCAGAAAAACGAGCUACAGUUUUCAGCAGCCGCAGCACGGUCCUUGGCAAACAAGGAUGAGAAAAAUAUCCAACCACGGGAGCCUGCGGGUGGCGAAGGUGGCAUACCCCCUGGGACUGUGUGUGGGCGUGUUCAUCUAUGUUGCCUACAUCAAGUGGCACCGGGCCACCGCCACCCAGGCCUUCUUCAGCAUCACCAGGGCAGCCCCGGGGGCCCGGUGGGGUCAGCAGGCCCACAGCCCCCUGGGGACAGCUGCAGAUGGGCACGAGGUCUUCUACGGGAUCAUGUUUGAUGCAGGAAGCACUGGCACCCGAGUACACGUCUUCCAGUUCACCCGGCCCCCCAGAGAAACUCCCACGUUAACCCACGAAACCUUCAAAGCACUGAAGCCAGGUCUUUCUGCCUAUGCCGAUGAUGUUGAAAAGAGCGCUCAGGGAAUCCAGGAACUACUGGAUGUUGCUAAACAGGACAUUCCGUUCGACUUCUGGAAGGCCACCCCUCUGGUCCUCAAGGCCACAGCUGGCUUACGCCUGUUACCUGGAGAAAAGGCCCAGAAGUUACUGCAGAAGGUGAAAGAAGUAUUUAAAGCAUCGCCUUUCCUUGUAGGGGAUGACUGUGUUUCCAUCAUGAACGGAACAGAUGAAGGCGUUUCGGCGUGGAUCACCAUCAACUUCCUGACAGGCAGCUUGAAAACUCCAGGAGGGAGCAGCGUGGGCAUGCUGGACUUGGGCGGAGGAUCCACUCAGAUCGCCUUCCUGCCACGCGUGGAGGGCACCCUGCAGGCCUCCCCACCCGGUUACCUGACGGCACUGCGGAUGUUUAACAGGACCUACAAGCUCUAUUCCUACAGCUACCUCGGGCUCGGGCUGAUGUCGGCACGCCUGGCGAUCCUGGGCGGCGUGGAGGGGCAGCCUGCUAAGGAUGGAAAGGAGUUGGUCAGCCCUUGCUUGUCUCCCAGUUUCAAAGGAGAGUGGGAACACGCAGAAGUCACGUACAGGGUUUCAGGGCAGAAAGCAGUGGCAAGCCUGCACGAGCUGUGUGCUGCCAGAGUGUCAGAGGUCCUUCAAAACAGAGUGCACAGGACGGAGGAAGUGAAGCAUGUGGACUUCUAUGCUUUCUCCUACUAUUACGACCUUGCAGCUGGUGUGGGCCUCAUAGGAGGCCAGAAGCAGAUGUGAGAAGGCGUCUCAUCCUGAGUAGGAAAAGAUCAGUUCUUUGAGCCCUUCAGUAAAACCUCGUGGCUGGUGACUUGCUGUUGAUUCCAGUUCCUGCUGGAAGGCAGGUCCUGCCGUGCACUGGCCCACGUUGUCUCAGACUCAGCCACUCUGCCCUACCCUGCAGCCCUGGCUACAGGAGGCCUCCUGUGACCUGCAGGUGGCUGCCCUGUACCCAUGGGAGGGAUCAGCUCACUGAAUGUGGAGUCUCUCUGACUCACCCUGCACAGCCCAGGAAGCCAGAUUAGGGCGGAAAAAGAUGCGGAGAAGGGAGGCAGCCUGGUGGUGGGGGACUUCGAGAUCGCAGCCAAGUACGUGUGUCGGACCCUGGAGACACAGCCGCAGAGCAGCCCCUUCGCGUGCAUGGACCUCACCUACGUCAGCCUGCUACUCCAGGAGUUCGGCUUUCCCAGGAGCAAAGUACUGAAGCUCACUCGGAAAAUUGACAAUGUUGAGACCAGCUGGGCUCUGGGGGCCAUUUUUCAUUACAUCGACUCCCUGAACAGACAGAAGAGUCCAGCCUCAUAGUGGCCGAGCCAUCCCUGUCCCCGUCAGCAGUGUCUGUGUGUCUGCAUAAACCCUCCUGUCCUGGACGUGACUUCAUCCUGAGGAGCCACAGCACAUGCCGUGGUGGCACUUUCUGCACACUGGCUCUGGGACUUGCAGAAGGCCUGGUGCUGCCCUGGCAUCAGCCUCUUCCAGUCACAUCUGGCCAGAGGGCUGUCUGGACCUGGGCCCUGCUCAAUGCCACCUGUCUGCCUGGGCUCCAAGUGGGCAGGACCAGGACAGAACCACAGGCACACACUGAGGGGGCAGUGUGGCUCCCUGCCUGUCCCAUCCCCAUGCCCCGUCCGCGGGGCUGUGGCUGCUGCUGUGCGUGUCCCUGCGAUGGGAGUCUUGUCUCCCAGCCUGUCAGUUUCCUCCCCAGGGCAGAGCUCCCCUUCCUGCGAGAGUCUGGGAGGCGGUGCAGGCUGUCCUGGCUGCUCUGGGGAAGCCGAGGGACAGCCAUAACACCCCCGGGACAGUAGGUCUGGGCGGCACCACUGGGAACUCUGGACUUGAGUGUGUUUGCCUCUUCCUUGGGUAUGAAUGUGUGAGUUCACCCAGAGGCCUGCUCUCCUCACACAUUGUGUGGUUUGGGGUUAAUGAUGGAGGGAGACACCUCCUCACAGAUGGCAGGUGCCCACCCUUCAGGGAGUCUCCCAGCAUGGGCGGAUGCCGGGCAUGAGCUACUGUAAACUAUUUGUGGCUGUGCUGCUUGAGUGACGUCUCUGUCGUGUGGGUGCCAAGUGCUUGUGUAGAAACUGUGUUCUGAGCCCCCUUUUCUGGACACCAACUGUGUCCUGUGAAUGUAUCGCUACUGUGAGCCGUUCCCGCCUAGCCAGGGCCAUGUCUUAGAUGCAGCUGUGCCACGGGUCAGCUGAGCCACAGUCCCAGAACCGAGCUCUCGGUGUCUCGGGCCACCAUCCGCCCACCACGGGUUGACCCCACCUCCUCCAUGGACAGUGUGAGCCCCGGGCCAUGCAUCCUGCUCAGUGUGGUGUCAGUGCCGGGGCUGAGCCCCUUGAGCUGCUUCAGUGAAUGUACAGUGCCCGGCACGAGCUGAACCUCAUGUGUUCCACUCCCAAUAAAAGGUUGACAGGG